UAUUGAUGAGGCUUCAUCCGCGAUCCCUCCCAUAAUAUUUAUCCCAUAAUAUUCGCCGAUUACAUUUAAAAGAUGCUGACAAGGGUUUACAGUCAGUUCAAACGUUUGUGAUAGCAACAACUGAUAUUGGGGAACUGAGGAAGCAUAUCCUAAUGGAUUGCAAGAUAAAGGGUUAAAGCAGCCGGCUGGAUGCGGUCAGGUACUGCGCUCAGGUAUCUGAAGGUGCAGUGCACCUCGGUGGGACCGUAGCAGACGCAUGGUUUGGGGCAGUCGCCGCUGCUCUGCAGCGCCGAAGCCAAGAACAGCAGAGCCUGGAGCAGACUCCUCCGCAGUUGACUCCUGAGUCCUGAGUGUGUGCGGAGCAGAGGGACUGGAGUCAUUGCUGCCUGAUGUGAUCGUUCCCUUUGGUCUCCUCCGCCCCCUGAAAACUGCUGUAAUCUAAUCCUACAGUAACUACAAUGACCCCAACUCAGGCAAGUCAGCUGACAAAACAUGCCAAAUAAUCUAUUCAGAUAUAUUUGGCUGCCGUCGUUUUUCAGCAGUCAUCUACUGUAAGUUGCAUGACUGUGUUGGACUGUGUAAUUUCUAUAAAGCAUGUUUUCCUGACGUGGUUUAUUAAGAUGUUAGGGGUUCUGUUCUGAGGAGGGUUGUCUCUACAGUACAGGAUGUCCAGUCAGGGCAAGUCUGGUAUUUUCUGCACUGGGUUUUGUAUUAUUUGAUGUUGUUUUUGUUGUUGUGCAGAGCAGAGCUAAUUAAUCUGGAUUCUUAUGAUAUCCCCAGCUUGGUUCCUAGAAUAUUCCAUUGUAGCUUUAUGUCCCCAACCUCUUGUGGAAAAAUGUUGAAAUGAAAAGUAAAAUCCAGUCACGAUUACUAAGGUUUUUAUUUAGUGUUUUCCACUAACAAUAGCCUGUUUCAAUCUUUUGUCUCAUUUUUGUGUUUUGCUUAUGGUCAGAGCCACAAACCAUUCAUCUCUCCAGGGGUUUAGUGUUUCAAAUACACAUUUUUUUUACCAGUUUGUUCAAUUUAAGCAAUCCCUUUGUUGUUUAUUAGAAUUUUUAGAGACACAGACUUUGCCUCCAUAAUCCUCCGUUCUCAUAUAGUUUUUAAAUUAAAUCUUUAUCUUCAGCAGCUAAUUAUUUGCCAAAAUAUGAGCUAACCUAUGUCCCAAAAUAAUGUUUGCAUGUCAUCUGCUUGUGGAUGACUCAUUGUUACUAUAACUGUCAGUGUUUCUGACUCACCCAUGUGUAAACACUAAAAAAAAAAGAAAUAAAUAAAUCACUAAUCAUCUUUAAA